rnacentral:rRNA from 1 species
GAUGAACGCUGGCGGCGUGCCUAAUACAUGCAAGUCGAGCGAACAGACGAGGAGCUUGCUCCUCUGACGUUAGCGGCGGACGGGUGAGUAACACGUGGAUAACCUACCUAUAAGACUGGGAUAACUUCGGGAAACCGGAGCUAAUACCGGAUAAUAUAUUGAACCGCAUGGUCAAUAGUGAAAGACGGGUUUGCUUUCACCUAUAGGUGGAUCCGCGCCGCAUUAGCUAGUUGGUAAGGUAACGGCUUACCAAGGCGACGAUGCGUAGCCGACCUGAGAGGGUGAUCGGCCACACUGGAACUGAGACACGGUCCAGACUCCUACGGGAGGCAGCAGUAGGGAAUCUUCCGCAAUGGGCGAAAGCCUGACGGAGCAACGCCGCGUGAGUGAUGAAGGUCUUCGGAUCGUAAAACUCUGUUAUUAGGGAAGAACAAAUGUGUAAGUAACUAUGCACGUCUUGACGGUACCUAAUCAGAAAGCCACGGCUAACUACGUG